CCCACGUCCCAUAAAAUCAAGGACACUUGGUCGCAAACUAAGGCAACUCCACGACCUUGACCUCACAGUCUGGCACGACGGCGACCUGGUGCCAGACGCCGCCCACCAACAGCAGCUCCUGCCUGCACGGCGACCUCGCCGCCCUGCACCGCUCCGUCGCCUCCCUGCACGAUCGCCGUCGCCGAUUUUUGCCGCUCAUAGUGUGGCAUCCGUCCUGCGAGAUCCCCGGUGCCCAGGAGAUAGAUCCUACCCAGGGACCAGCUGUGUCGCCGCGCACGCGCCCCGGCCUACACCCGCGCCUGCUGCGUCCCCUGAACCAGCCGGCCACAUGCAGCUAUGAUUCUUCCUUCCACUUCUUCAGGUUCGACUUCUUCCUAGCAUGGCGGCGGCUUAGGGGCCUGGAUUUGGCCAUAGUCUGGAGGGACGCCAUAGAUUGGAUUUCGAAGGUGAGCCACCGCAUCUUGAUUUGAUUCAAAACGUUCCUCUCUAGCAUGGUACUGAUACGUGAUGGGCCUUUUUAAUCAAUUUCAUUAGUGGUUUUCUCAUCGGAUUUCUGCUUGAUGAUACCGUCCUGAUGUAUGGUGCCGUGAUAGCUGAUUAAAUCUGCAAAUUCAUUGCCGUUGACUGCGGGCUUGUCUGUCAACUACCUUGAUAGGUUCCUCUCCGUCUAUCCCCUUCUUGGAAGUCUAUCAUCUGAGUAGAUAAAUCAUGUACGGUGCCAUGCUUGCCCCUUUAUUCCUGGAGUAUUUGCAGCUGGUGAGUCUAUUUCUUUUUGUUUUUUGAUUCACAGCUACUGGCAUGAAUUGGCCCUUGCAUAUGGUCCUAGCGCUGACAAUAAUUUGAACCUGUCAAUUGGGGACAGAUAUGCCCAUCACCAGUGCACCUUUUAUUCAGUUUGAGGAGAAAUAAGUAGUCAAUUGGCUGACUAAAUAUGUUUCCUGUGAGCUAUACAAUUAAGCUGAUUUAAUUCGUGGCCUAACAAUACUUUUGUUAAUAGUUGACAACUAAAAGAGGAUCUACUUUUGCUAAUGAUGGGCAAAUAAAAGAGGAUCCACGCUCUCACGAGUUUACAUUGUACAAAAUUAUUCUUUGCUAACAAUAAUUUUGCUAGGUUACUCUCUCUGCAUCUCAGUGUUAUUAGUCCAAAUAUUCCGAUUCCAAAGGAUGUCUUCAAACAUGAGAUCUUUUAAUAAAUUAUAACCAACAUAUCUCUUUAAUUUUGGUUCUGACUAGAAUGAUGAAAUUCAAUUUUGUACUACUACAGAUUAGUUUAAUCAUCUUCACCAACAGUAUAUAUUGCAGAGAAUUAUUUUGGUUUAGUUUUUAGCAUGUAGAUAUGACAUGGUAAGCCUCCUGUGAAGGAGGGGAUUAGUCAAAUAGAAACUGUUCUAUUUGAUAUACAAUGUAAUUUGGAAAUUUGUGGCGGAAGACUCCUAAACUAACAUCUGGCAUUUUGUUUGAAUUUCUCUUGAUUGUGUUACUUAUGUGCAAUCACCAUACUUGACAUGGGUCCCUAAUUUUGUCACUUCCCUUGAUGAGUCUUUUGUCAGCAUCUCGACGCAGAGGUACAACUUCUAGCAGAUCUUCUUCAUGUUUUACGUUGUUUGUUGGUACUUUUUGCUGCAAUGUGGAGGUACAGAAUCUAGCUGAUAUAUCUUCAUGCUUUACCUUGUUUACCACUGUCCCAGUGUGGGGGGUACAGAUUCUAGCUGAUAUACCUUCAUGUUUUACCUUGUUUACCAAUGUCCUAGAUUUUAGUUUCCUCUUUGCUUUGAAUUAGAUAGAAGAUGAGACGUGCUUUGUUGUACUUUCCUCUUACUUUGCCUGAGUAGGACAUUUAUUUGAAAUACUAAAUUGUGGUGUCGCUACCCCUACGCAUCAUGGCGUUGCAGCGCCCUCGGCUCAAGGGAAUCAUCUCCAAGCCUACCAUACUCGAAUCAUGGAAGUGCGCAAACUAGAGCGCAUCAUGGUGUCGCUGGCCACCCGAUCUCUACAACCACAACAAAAGGCUACAAGAUUGACCAGGCCGGUGUCUUGACCUCUGAAUCACAUCGCUGUGCCGGCGCCUUGAUCUCGCAUGAGGACGUCUAAAACCCGAGGGCCAACCUCGCUCGAGCGUCGCCGGUCAGCACUCAUCUGCACAGGAGCAAAUGUUCACAAGGAUUGGCACCACGGACUGAAGAAUCGUCCCAACCAUCAUGGACACACCAGGGGCAGGGGCUGCAUGCUGCCAAGGCUGAGGUGGCUGCCACGAAGACUGGCUCGAUGUAAUGACCGAGGAGGCGCAGGCCGCAGGGUGUGCUCUUCUAAUUAGUAUUAUGAUUUGCAUAUGUAACAAUGCUACUCUGAAUGGAUUUGCUAACUAUAUAUAUGGUAUGUGUGUUUUGGAAUCUUGGUAGUGGUUCAGUAGUGGUCCAGUCGUAAUAUCUUACAAGUACGCUGCUAAUCAAAAAUUUCUUGAUCAAGUUUAUUAUUAUUUCCAUUGCACUAUACUUUA